AUUGAACGCUGGCGGCAGGCCUAACACAUGCAAGUCGAACGGUAACAGGGAUCAGCUUGCUGAUUCGCUGACGAGUGGCGGACGGGCGAGUAAUGUCUGGGAAACUGCCUGAUGGAGGGGGAUAACUACUGGAAACGGUAGCUAAUACCGCAUAACGUCGCAAGACCAAAGAGGGGGACCUUCGGGCCUCUUGCCAUCGGAUGUGCCCAGAUGGGAUUAGCUAGUAGGUGGGGUAACGGCUCACCUAGGCGACGAUCCCUAGCUGGUCUGAGAGGAUGACCAGCCACACUGGAACUGAGACACGGUCCAGACUCCUACGGGAGGCAGCAGUGGGGAAUAUUGCACAAUGGGCGCAAGCCUGAUGCAGCCAUGCCGCGUGUAUGAAGAAGGCCUUCGGGUUGUAAAGUACUUUCAGCGGGGAGGAAGGGAGUAAAGUUAAUACCUUUGCUCAUUGACGUUACCCGCAGAAGAAGCACCGGCUAACUCCGUG
rnacentral:rRNA from 1 species